GAUGAACGCUGGCGGCGUGCCUAAUACAUGCAAGUCGAGCGAACGGACGAGAAGCUUGCUUCUCUGAUGUUAGCGGCGGACGGGUGAGUAACACGUGGAUAACCUACCUAUAAGACUGGGAUAACUUCGGGAAACCGUAGCUAAUACCGGAUAAUAUCUUGAACCGCAUGGUUCAAAAGUGAAAGACGGUCUUGCUGUCACUUAUAGAUGGAUCCGCGCUGCAUUAGCUAGUUGGUAAGGUAACGGCUUACCAAGGCAACGAUGCAUAGCCGACCUGAGAGGGUGAUCGGCCACACUGGAACGGAGACACGGUCCAGACUCCUACGGGAGGCAGCAGUAGGGAAUCUUCCGCAGUGGGCGAAAGCCUGACGGAGCAACGCCGCGUGAGUGAUGAAGGUCUUCGGAUCGUAAAACUCUGUUAUUAGGGAAGAACAAAUGUGUAAGUAACUGUGCACAUCUUGACGGUACCUAAUCAGAAAGCCACGGCUAACUACGUG
rnacentral:rRNA from 1 species